GCCUUCUUAGCUCAGUGGUAGAGCGUUGGUCUCGUAAUCCAAGCAUAAUAAAGGUCGAGAGUUCAAUCCUCUCAGGAGGCA